CUUUUUGGUUGUAAAGUUCUUUUACGAGGGAUAAUUAUGAUAGUACUUCGUGAAUAAGUGACAGCAAACUAUGUGCCAGCAGCUGCGGUAAUACAUAGGUCGCGAGCAUUAUUCGGAUUUAUUGGGCGUAAAGCAAGCGCAGGCGGAUGUGUAAGUUCUGUGUUAAAUGCAGCUACUCAAUAGUUGUAUGCACCGAAUACUACAUGUCUAGAUUGUGGUAGGGAGUUUCGGAAUUAAGCAUGGAGCGGUGGAAUGUGUAGAUAUGCUUAAGAACACCAGAGGCGAAGGCGGAAACUUAGGCCAUAAAUGACGCUUAGGCUUGAAAGUGUGGGGAGCAAAUGGGAUUAGAUACCCCAGUAGUCCACACCGUAAACGAUGGGUAUUAGAUAUUAGGGCUUUAGCUUUAGUGUUGUAGCUUACGCGUUAAAUACCCCGCCUGGGUAGUACAUAUGCAAAUAUGAAACUCAAAGGAAUUGACGGGGAUCUGAACAAGUGGUGGAGCAUGUUGCUUAAUUCGAUAAUACACGAAAAACCUUACCAAGGUUUGACAUCCCUCGCAAAGCUAUAGAAAUAUAGU
rnacentral:rRNA from 1 species